AUAUCAUUUUCGUGUCAAUUAAUACAAACCACCAAGAAUAAGACAUGAUAAAAGUUGUGUUAAAGUGGAAUGAGGCGUAUGUAUAAUUUCAUUACAUGGUUCAUUGUGCAGCUCUCCUCCAAUCAAAUCCUACCAAAGACCAGACCUCAAAAUUAAGACACACGCACAGACAAAGAAAGAAUGAUAGAAACCAUUUCUGAAAACAUCCAAGACCAUCCCUGAAACAUCCAUCACCAUUUCUGAAAAUUUAGAUCCACAUAGCCAUUUCUGAAACCAUUGGCUAUGCCUACAGGGUGAGGCCAAGAAAAUCAGCAGCAGAUUUUGCCAUGAUAUUAGCAAACUCAUUAAAACUAAUGACACCAUCUCCAUUUGUAUCAGCCUCCCUCAUCAUCUGAGAUAGUUCUUGAUAAGUUAAUGGAUGACCCAUUUUAGCCAUGGAUCCUGCAAGCUCAGCUGCAGUAAUAUAUCCAUUGCCAUCGCGAUCAAAUGAUCGAAAGACCUCCAAUAACUGCUCCUGGUUGAUCAAUACUUCUUCGUUCAUGUCAGGCAAUAUGGCGGUCACCAAUUCAUCAAACUCAACAUAUCCAUUGCCAUUUGCAUCCAUGUUGGAUAGCAAGACAUGGAUUUGGUCGCCUGAAGGUUUGAGGCCGAGAGAGCGAAGAAGUGCGGCGAGCUCUAGCUGAGUCAGGCUCCCAUCGGAAUCCAUGUCAAAGCGCAUGAAGAUGUCCUUGAGCUGCUUGAGCUGGUCGGAUUGGAGGGUUGCCAUCAUGGCUGCAGGUAAUGGUGAUUGGUGAAGGAGAAGAGAACAAAAACCAAGAAGAAUAAUUAAAAGAAAAAACUUGUAAAAGAGAGAAAAGAAAGGGUAUUUUGGUUUGUUGAAGAUGUGGGGCUUACGUUUUUCUUUCUGGUUUCUGUAUGAUUUGGAAUGCUUCAAAUUCAAA
rnacentral:misc_RNA from 1 species